GUGCUCGAUUCGGCAGCACAUAUACUAAAACUGGACCGAUACAGAGAAGAUUAGCAUGGCCCCUGAGCAGGGAUGACAGGCACAUUCGUGAAGCGUUCCGUAUUUUU